GCAGACACAGGAGAGAGAAGCGUGUUGAGUUCAGGUGUUGAGUUCAGCAGCUACAGCAGACACAGGAGAGAGAAGCGUGUUGAGUUCAGCAGCUACAGCAGACACAGGAGAGAGAAGCGUGUUGAGUUCAGGUGUUGAGUUCAGCAGCUACAGCAGACACAAGAGAGAGAAGCGUGUUGAGUUCAGGUGUGUUCAGCAGCUACAGCAGACACAGGAGAGAGAAGCGUGUUGAGUUCAGCAGCUACAGCAGACACAGGAGAGAGAAGCGUGUUGAGUUCAGGUGUUGAGUUCAGCCAUCUCCACUUCAUCAUAGAGGUCUUCAUCUCCACUCUGCUGACCCUCUCUGCUCUGACGUCCAGAGGUCUGCUCUCCUCUUCUGCUCCUCAGCCUGAACCAGAUCACAGCAGUGACCAGCCCCAGCAGCACACAGCCUAUCAGUGGAGCGUACGCUCUGUAGAAAGGAGAGUGCACCCCAAACGGAUCCCUGUACACAAGCCGGAAGGUGCCCUCAGAACAAACAUAGAUAUCAUUU